AGAGUUUGAUCCUGGCUCAGGAUGAACGCUAGCUACAGGCUUAACACAUGCAAGUCGAGGGGAAACGACAUCGAAAGCUUGCUUUUGAUGGGCGUCGACCGGCGCACGGGUGAGUAACGCGUAUCCAACCUGCCCAUCACUUGGGGAUAACCUUGCGAAAGUAAGACUAAUACCCAAUGACGUCUCUAGAAGACAUCUGAAAGAGAUUAAAGAUUCAUCGGUGAUGGAUGGGGAUGCGUCUGAUUAGCUUGUUGGCGGGGUAACGCCACAAGGCGACGAUCAGUAGGGGUUCUGAGAGGAGGUCCCCCANAUUGGAACUGAGACACGGUCCAAACUCCUACGGGAGCA
rnacentral:rRNA from 1 species